rnacentral:miRNA from 1 species
UUCUACACUGCCAUAUAAUCCA